rnacentral:rRNA from 1 species
CCCUUAGAUGUCCUGGGCCGCACGCGCGCUACACUGAUGCAUGCAACGAGUUUAUAACCUUGGCCUGAAAGGUCUGGGUAAUCUUUUGAACGUGCAUCGUGAUAGGGAUAGAUUAUUGCAAUUGUUAAUCUUGAACGAGGAAUUCCUAGUAAACGCGAGUCAUCAGCUCGCAUUGAUUACGUCCCUGCCCUUUGUACACACCGCCCGUCGCACCUACCGAUUGAAUGGUUCGGUGAAGAUCUCGGACUUCGGUAUUUAUUCUUUAUUGAGUUUAUAUUGUGGGAAGUUAUCUAAACCUCAUCAUUUAGAGGAAGGUGAAGUCGUAACA